rnacentral:rRNA from 1 species
UACACUCCUGCGGGAGGCAGCAGUGGGGAAUAUUGGACAAUGGGCGCAAGCCUGAUCCAGCCAUGCCGCGUGAGUGAUGAAGGCCCUAGGGUUGUAAAGCUCUUUCACCGGUGAAGAUAAUGACGGUAACCGGAGAAGAAGCCCCGGCUAACUUCGUGCCAGCAGCCGCGGUAAUACGAAGGGGGCUAGCGUUGUUCGGAUUUACUGGGCGUAAAGCGCACGUAGGCGGACUAUUAAGUCAGGGGUGAAAUCCCGGGGCUCAACCCCGGAAUGGCCUUUGAUACUGGUAGUCUUGAGUUCGAGAGAGGUGAGUGGAAUUCCGAGUGUAGAGGUGAAAUUCGUAGAUAUUCGGAGGAACACCAGUGGCGAAGGCGGCUCACUGGCUCGAUACUGACGCUGAGGUGCGAAAGCGUGGGGAGCAAACAGGAUUAGAAACCCUUGUAGUCCC